rnacentral:rRNA from 1 species
AUUGAACGCUAGCUACAGGCUUAACACAUGCAAGUCGAGGGACCGGCGCACGGGUGAGUAACACGUAUCCAACCUGCCCUUUACUCGGGGAUAGCCUUUCGAAAGAAAGAUUAAUACCCGAUAUAAAGGAUGGGGAUGCGUUGCAUUAGGUUGUUGGUGAGGUAACGGCGCACCAAGCCUUCGAUGGAUAGGGGUUCUGAGAGGAAGGGCCCCUACAUCGGAACUGAGACACGGUCCAAACGCCUACGGGAGGCAGCAGUAAGGAAGAUUGGUGAAGGGGCGGUAGCCUGAACCAGCCAAGUAGCGUGAAGGAUGAAGGCGUAGGGGUCGUAAACUUCUUGUAUAUAAGAAUAGGUAUUAUAUGAAUAAGGAUCGGCUAACUCCGUGCCAGCAGCCGCGGUAAUAC